AUUGAACGCUGGCGGCAGGCCUAACACAUGCAAGUCGAGCGGAGCGGCGGACGGGUGAGUAAUACCUAGGAAUCUGCCUGGUAGUGGGGGAUAACGUUCGGAAACGGACGCUAAUACCGCAUACUAUCAGAUGAGCCUAGGUCGGAUUAGCUAGUUGGUGGGGUAAUGGCUCACCAAGGCUACGAUCCGUAACUGGUCUGAGAGGAUGAUCAGUCACACUGGAACUGAGACACGGUCCAGACUCCUACGGGAGGCAGCAGUGGGGAAUAUUGGACAAUGGGCGAAAGCCUGAUCCAGCCAUGCCGCGUGUGUGAAGAAGGUCUUCGGAUUGUAAAGCACUUUUGUUAGGGAAGCGGUACCUAAGGAAUAAGCACCGGCUAACUACGUGCCAGCAGCCGCGGUAAUAC
rnacentral:rRNA from 1 species